rnacentral:misc_RNA from 1 species
GUAUAUAUUUGCGCUAUUACACGCUAUAUAACAUUAUCCAUUCUUUAACUUUUUGUAUAUGGGUGUAUAAAAAAUCAUAGCUAGAGCUUUCAAUAUUGUUUCCAACAUUGUAAUCAUCCCUAAGCUACACAUAGUGCACAGGUGUGUGUGAUGUGCGAUCAAGGUGUGCACAUGCCCCGGAAGGCCAGCUACAACCCUUCUCGACAUUCAUUUCAUUAAUGAUCCUUCCGCAGGUUCACCUACGGAAA